GGUUAAGCGACUAAGCGUACACGGUGGAUGCCCUGGCAGUCAGAGGCGAUGAAGGACGUGCUAAUCUGCGAAAAGCGCCGGCGAGGUGAUAUGAACCCUUGACCCGGCGAUGUCCGAAUGGGGAAACCCAGUGUGUUCCGACACACUAUCGUUAACUGAAUACAUAGGUUAACGAGGCGAACCGGGGGAACUGAAACAUCUAAGUACCCCGAGGAAAAGAAAUCAACCGAGAUUCCCCCAGUAGCGGCGAGCGAACGGGGAGCAGCCCGGAGUCUGAAUCAGCUUGUGUGUUAGUGGAACGGUCUGGAAAGUCCGACGGUACAGGGUGAUAGUCCCGUACACGAAAACACACUUGCUGUGAACUCGAAGAGUAGGGCGGGACACGUGGUAUCCUGUCUGAAUAUGGGGGGACCAUCCUCCAAGGCUAAAUACUCCUGACUGACCGAUAGUGAACCAGUACCGUGAGGGAAAGGCGAAAAGAACCCCGGCGAGGGGAGUGAAAAAGAACCUGAAACCGUGUACGUACAAGCAGUGGGAGCACCUUCGGGUGUGACUGCGUACCUUUUGUAUAAUGGGUCAGCGACUUAUAUUCUGUAGCAAGGUUAACCGUAUAGGGGAGCCGAAGGGAAACCGAGUCUUAACUGGGCGUUAAGUUGCAGGGUAUAGACCCGAAACCCGGUGAUCUAGCCAUGGGCAGGUUGAAGGUUGGGUAACACUAACUGGAGGACCGAACCGACUAAUGUUGAAAAAUUAGCGGAUGACCUGUGGCUGGGGGUGAAAGGCCAAUCAAACCGGGAGAUAGCUGGUUCUCCCCGAAAGCUAUUUAGGUAGCGCCUCGUGAACUCAUCUUCGGGGGUAGAGCACUGUUUCGGCUAGGGGGCCAUCCCGGCUUACCAACCCGAUGCAAACUACGAAUACCGAAGAAUGUUAUCACGGGAGACACACGGCGGGUGCUAACGUCCGUCGUGAAGAGGGAAACAACCCAGACCGCCAGCUAAGGUCCCAAAGUCAUGGUUAAGUGGGAAACGAUGUGGGAAGGCACAGACAGCCAGGAUGUUGGCUUAGAAGCAGCCAUCAUUUAAAGAAAGCGUAAUAGCUCACUGGUCGAGUCGGCCUGCGCGGAAGAUGUAACGGGGCUAAACCAUGCACCGAAGCUGCGGCAGCGACACU
rnacentral:rRNA from 1 species